GACGAACGCUGGCGGCGUGCUUAACACAUGCAAGUCACGGGGGCCCGCAAGGGUAACCGGCGAACGGGUGCGUAACACGUGAGCAAUCUGCCGUCCACUGGGGGAUAGCCGGCCCAACGGCCAGGUAAUACCGCAUACGCUUGCCGGGUGGCAUCACUUGGCAAGGAAACCUCCGGGGGUGGACGAGGAGCUCGCGGCCUAUCAGCUAGUUGGUGGGGUCACGGCCCACCAAGGCGAUGACGGGUAGCUGGUCUGAGAGGAUGGCCAGCCACAUUGGGACUGAGAUACGGCCCAGACUCCUACGGGAGGCAGCAGUGGGGAAUAAUGCGCAAUGGCCGCAAGGCUGACGCAGCGACGCCGCGUGGGGGAUGAAGCAUUUCGGUGUGUAAACCCCUGUUGCCCGGGACGAACCUCCCCUUUCGAGGGGACUGACGGUACCGGGUGAGGAAGCACCGGCUAACUCCGUG
rnacentral:rRNA from 1 species